GAUGAACGCUGGCGGCGUGCCUAAUACAUGCAAGUCGAGCGAACGGACGAGAAGCUUGCUUCUCUGAUGUUAGCGGCGGACGGGUGAGUAACACGUGGAUAACCUACCUAUAAGACUGGGAUAACUUCGGGAAACCGGAGCUAAUACCGGAUAAUAUUUUGAACCGCAUGGUUCAAAAGUGAAAGACGGUCUUGCUGUCACUUAUAGAUGGAUCCGCGCUGCAUUAGCUAGUUGGUAAGGUAACGGCUUACCAAGGCACCGAUGCAUAGCCGACCUGAGAGGGUGAUCGGCCACACUGGAACUGAGACACGGUCCAGACUCCUACGGGAGGCAGCAGUAGGGAAUCUUCCGCAAAGGGCGAAAGCCUGACGGAGCAACGCCGCGUGAGUGAUGAAGGUCUUCGGAUCGUAAAACUCUGUUAUUAGGGAAGAACAUAUGUGUAAGUAACUGUGCACAUCUUGACGGUACCUAAUCAGAAAGCCACGGCUAACUACGUG
rnacentral:rRNA from 1 species